CCAGACUCCUACGGGAGGCAGCAGUGAGGAAUAUUGGUCAAUGGGCGGGAGCCUGAACCAGCCAAGCCGCGUGAGGGAAGAAGGUACAGCGUAUCGUAAACCUCUUUUGUCAGGGAACAAAGGCGGGGACUAGUCCCCGGAUGAGGGUACCUGAAGAAAAAGCAUCGGCUAACUCCGUGCCAGCAGCCGCGGUAAUACGGAGGAUGCGAGCGUUAUCCGGAUUUAUUGGGUUUAAAGGGUGCGCAGGCGGCCUGUGAGGUAGGCGGAAAAGGCCCGGGGCUCAACCCCGGCGAGCCGUUGAAACUGGCGGGCUGGAGUUGGAGAGAAGUACGCGGAAUGCGCGGUGUAGCGGUGAAAUGCUUAGAUAUCGCGCAGAACCCCGAUUGCGAAGGCAGCGUACCGGCUCCACACUGACGCUGAGGCACGAAAGCGUGGGUAUCGAACAGGAUUAGAUACCCCAGUA
rnacentral:rRNA from 1 species